rnacentral:rRNA from 1 species
CUUUUUCCAAUUAAAUCAUUUAUGGCUUCUGGAGGGGCUUGCGGCCUAUCAGCUAGAUGGUGGGGUAAUGGCCUACCAUGGCGACGACGGGUAGCUGGUCUGAGAGGACGAUCAGCCGGACUGGGACUGAGAUACGGCCCAGACUCCUACGGGGGGCAGCAAUUAGGAAUCUUGCGCAAUGGGGGCAACCCUGACGCAGCGAUGUCGCGUGGAUGAGGAAGGCUUUAGGGUCGUAAAAUCCUUUUAUCGAGGAAGAAACAAAUGACGGUACUCGAUGAAUAAGCCCCGGCUAACUCCGUGCCAGCAGCCGCGGUAAUACGGGGGGGGCGAGCGUUGUCCGAAUUUACUGGGCGUAAAGCGCGCGUAGGUGGAUUGUUAAGUCCGCUGUGAAAGCCCGGGGCUCAACCCCGGAGGGUCGGUGGAUACUGACAGUUUUGAAGUGGCUAGAGGGAAGUGGAAUUACCAGUGUAGCGGUGAAAUGCGUAGAUAUUGGUAGGAACACCAGUGGCGAAGGCGGCUUCCUGGGGCUAUCUUGACACUGAGGCGCGAAAGCUGGGGGAGCGAACGGGAUUAGAUACCCCGGUAGUCCCAGCCCUAAACGAUGGAUACUAGUUGUCGGGGGUAUCGACCCUUCGGUGACGUCGCAAACGCAUUAAGUAUCCCGCCUGGGGAGUACGGCCGCAAGGUUGAAACUCAAAGGAAUUGACGGGGCCCCGCACAAGCGGUGGAGCAUGUUGUUUAAUACGUCACAAACCGUAGAACCUUACCAGGGUUUGACAUGGGAGGCACCGGCGUGAAAGCGUCGUUCCGAGUAAUCGGACCUCUACACAGGUGUUGCAUGGCUGUCGUCAGCUCGUGUCGUGAGAUGUUGGGUUAAGUCCCGCAACGAGCGCAACCCUCAUCCUAUGUUGCCAGCAAGUGAAGUUGGGCACUCUUAGGAAACUGCCGAGGUAACUCGGAGGAAGGUGAGGAUGACGUCAAGUCAGCAUGGCCCUUAUAUCCUGGGCUACAAACAUGCUACAAUGGACGGUAUACAGAGGGAUCCCAAGGCGUGAGCCGGAGGCAAUCUCAAAAAUCCGUUCUCAGUUCGGAUUGUAGGCUGCAACUCGCCUACAUGAAGCUGGAAUCGCUAGUAACCGCAGGUCAGCUAAACUGCGGUGAAUACGUUCCCGGGGCUUGUACACACCGCCCGUCACGUCACCUGAAUUGUCUGCACCCGAAGCCGGUGGCUCAACCGCAAGGAGAGAGCUGUCUAAGGUGUGGGGAGUGAGGGGGACGAAGUCGUAACAAGGUA